UGGGCACUUGUAUUUCCAGUCCUGUGAUGG
rnacentral:piRNA from 1 species